UGGUUUUGUCUAAAGUCAAACUUUCUUAAGUUUGACCAAAUUUAUAUAAAAGAUUAUCAAUUUUUAUAAUACCAAAUAAACAUACUAUGAAAGUAUAUUUCAUCAUGAAUCUAAUGAUACUUAUUUGGUUUCAUAAAAAAUUGUAAUUUUUUGUAUAAAUUUGGUCAAACUUAAGAAAGUUUGACUUCAGACAAAACCAA
rnacentral:pre_miRNA from 1 species